UACAGAGGUCUCAAGCGUUGUUCGGAUUCAUUGGGCGUAAAGGGUGCGUAGGCGGCGCGGUAAGUCGGGUGCGAAAUCUCGGAGCUUAACUUCGAAACUGCAUUCGAUACUGCCGUGCUUGAGGACUGGAGAGGAGACUGGAAUUUACGGUGUAGCGGUGAAAUGCGUAGAUAUCGUAAGGAAGACCAGAGGCGAAGGCGGGUCUCUGGACAGUUCCUGACGCUGAGGCACGAAGGUCAGGGGAGCAAACGGG
rnacentral:rRNA from 1 species